rnacentral:rRNA from 1 species
AUUGAACGCUGGCGGCAGGCUUAACACACGCAAGUCGAGCGGAGUGAUGGUGCUUGCACUAUCACUUAGCGGCGGACGGGUGAGUAAUGCUUAGGAAUCUGCCUAUUAGUGGGGGACAACAUCUCGAAAGGGAUGCUAAUACCGCAUACGUCCUACGGGAGAAAGCAGGGGAUCACUUGUGACCUUGCGCUAAUAGAUGAGCAUAAGUCGGAUUAGCUAGUUGGUCGGGUAAAGGCCUACCAAGGCGACGAUCUGUAGCGGGUCUGAGAGGAUGAUCCGCCACACUGGGACUGAGACACGGCCCAGACUCCUACGGGAGGCAGCAGUGGGGAAUAUUGGACAAUGGGGGGAACCCUGAUCCAGCCAUGCCGCGUGUGUGAAGAAGGCCUUAUGGUUGUAAAGCACUUUAAGCGAGGAGGAGGCUCUUUUGGUUAAUACCCAAGAUGAGUGGACGUUACUCGCAGAAUAAGCACCGGCUAACUCUGUGCCAGCCGCCGCAGUAA